rnacentral:rRNA from 1 species
UGGGGAAUUUUUCGCAAUGGGGGCAACCCUGACGAAGCAACGCCGCGUGGAGGAUGAAGGCCUUCGGGUCGUAAACUCCUGUCGACCGGGACGAAAGUAGCUCGACCUAAUACGUCGAGCGAUUGACUGUACCGGUGGAGGAAGCCACGGCUAACUCUGUGCCAGCAGCCGCGGUAAUACAGAGGUGGCAAGCGUUGUUCGGAAUUACUGGGCGUAAAGGGCGCGCAGGCGGCCCGCUAAGUUCCGUGUGAAAUCCCUUGGCUCAACCGAGGAACCGCACGGAAAACUGGCAGGCUUGAGUUCGGGAGAGGGAAGUGGAAUUCCGGGUGUAGCGGUGAAAUGCGUAGAUAUCCGGAGGAACACCGGUGGCGAAGGCGGCUUCCUGGACCGACACUGACGCUGAGGCGCGAAAGCUAGGGGAGCAAACGGG